UACGAAGGGGGCUAGCGUUGCUCGGAAUCACUGGGCGUAAAGCGCACGUAGGCGGAUUGCUAAGUCAGGGGUGAAAUCCUGGAGCUCAACUCCAGAACUGCCCUUGAUACUGGCGGUCUCGAGUCCGGGAGAGGCGAGUGGAACUGCGAGUGUAGAGGUGAAAUUCGUAGAUAUUCGCAAGAACACCAGUGGCGAAGGCGGCUCACUGGCCCGAUACCGACGCUGAGGCACGAAAGCGUGGGGAGCAAACAGG
rnacentral:rRNA from 1 species